UACGUAGGUGGCGAGCGUUGUCCGGAUUUACUGGGCGUAAAGAGCCCGCAGGCGGUCCGAUAAGUUCCUGGUGAAAUCUCCUGGCUCAACUGGGAGGGUGCCUGGAAAACUGUCGGACUUGAGGCAUGGAGAGGGAUGUGGAAUUCCCGGUGUAGUGGUGAAAUGCGUAGAUAUCGGGAGGAACACCAGUGGCGAAGGCGGCAUCCUGGCCAUGUCCUGACGCUCAGGGGCGAAAGCGUGGGGAGCAAACCGGAUUAGAUACCCGGGUAGUCCACGCCGUAAACGAUGAGUACUAGGGGUAGGGGGUAUCGACCCCCUCUGUCCCGAAGCCAACGCGAUAAGUACUCCGCCUGGGGACUACGGCCGCAAGGCUAAA
rnacentral:rRNA from 1 species